GAUGAACGCUGGCGGCGUGCCUAAUACAUGCAAGUCGAGCGAACAGACGAGGCGCUUGCUCCUCUGACGUUAGCGGCGGACGGGUGAGUAACACGUGGAUAACCUACCUAUAAGAAUGGGAUAACUUCGGGAAAACGGAGCUAAUCCCGGAUAAUAUAUUGAACCGCGUGGUUCAAUAGUGAAAGACGGGUUUGCUGUCACUUAUAGAUGGAUCCGCGCCGCGUUAGCUAGUUGGGAAGGUAACGGCUUACCAAGGCGACGAUGCGUAGCCGACCUGAGAGGGGGAUCGGCCACACUGGAACGGAGACGCGGUCCAGACUCCUACGGGAGGCAGCAGUAGGGAAUCGUCCGCAAUGGGCGAAAGCCUGACGGAGCAACGCCGCGUGAGUGAUGAAGGUCUUCGGAUCGUAAAACUCUGUUAUUAGGGAAGAACAAAUGUGUAAGUAACUAUGCACGUCUUGACGGUACCUGAUCAGAAAGCCACGGCUAACUACGUG
rnacentral:rRNA from 1 species